rnacentral:lncRNA from 1 species
UAACUUUGGCUAGAACCCUCUUAUCUUCUAAAGCUCAUCUUUUGGAGCUUCUUCUUCUUUGAUCUGCCCAGGGUUGUUAGAGGUCUUGAUGGGGUAAGAAGCCGACAUGGCGAUACCGAUACCGCACAACCCCUCUCUGGCAUUUAUUCCGCGCUGCAUUCUGAUGCAUCCAUCUUCUCCCCAUUCGGACCCCACGAAUUUCUAACUAUCCAAUACUUUGUUCCAUUGCGAGUAGAUCCAUAGCCUACUACUGCAACUCUGUGAUCCAAAUCAGUUCCACACUCUCCAGCGAAAACACCCUGAGCGCCAUUGUAGGUAUCAUAUACACCUAUGUCAAUUUGUAAAACUUUUUUUUUUAAUCUUUUUUUUGUUUAUUUUUUUGAAAAUUCAUUAUAUACUACUCAUAAUAGGCUCUUAAUUAGAUAAGCUGAUGAAACAGUAAGAUCUACUAUCCCAAUUAAUGUUGCAGAAGAUACUAACCUCAUAAUAGAAUGUUAAAUAUAAAAAAAAAAUGUUUAAACACCGUUCUCUAAUUUAAACAUUUUUUUUUUUAUAUUUAACACUCUCCCUCACGUCUGGGCUCGGAAAUUUUUAAUCGGUCCAUGACGUGAACUUGAAUUAAAUGGGAGGAAAUUAAUAUGUUAGGAGCCUGGCGUAACUCGAACUCAGGACCUCCUGUUCUGAUACCAUGUGAAACAACCGUUGUACUCUAAAAGCUUAAGCUGUUAGAGAACGGUGUUUAAACAUUUUUUUUUUUUAUAUUUAACAUAGAAUUGGAAGGCUCGACCACGAUGGCGACAGAAACAGACUGGUGGGCCACAGCUUUCUUUAGAGCGUCCUCGUUGUCGGCCGGAACAUCCUCGUGCCCGUCAAGCACAACCGCCGGAUGACGCGCCUACGAAUUAUGCAGGGUCAUCAAUUAGAAUUUAGAAAUAUCAUAAACAUUGUUCACUGCUUUAUAUUCGUUCACCCUUGAAUUGGAUUUUCUAUCAAAAAUUUCUGAGCCAAAUGAUCAAAC